AUUACCCACUCCCGGCACGGGGAGGUAGUGACGAAAAAUAACGAUACGGAACUCAUACGAGGCUCCGUAAUCGGAAUGAGUACACUUUAAAUCCUUUAACGAGGAUCUAUUGGAGGGCAAGUCUGGUGCCAGCAGCCGCGGUAAUUCCAGCUCCAAUAGCGUAUAUUAAAGUUGUUGCGGUUAAAAAGCUCGUAGUUGGAUCUCGGUUUCACUCAGGUGGUACACCUUGCGGUGUUCACUAUCUGGGUGGACGUUUCUGUUGGUUCGCUCUUGGUGCUCUUCAUCGGGUGCCAUUUGGUGGCCAGCACGUUUACUUUGAAAAAAUUGGAGUGCUCAAAGCAGGCGUUACAGCCUGAACAUUAGUGCAUGGAAUAAUGGAAUAGGAUCUCGAUUCUAUUUCGUUGGCUUUCGGAGUCGAGGUAAUGAUUAAUAGGGACAGACGGGGGCAUUCGUACUGCGACGUUAGAGGUGAAAUUCUUGGAUCGUCGCAAGACGAACUACUGCGAAAGCAUUUGCCAAGAAUGUUUUCAUUAAUCAACGAAAGUUAGAGGUUCGAAGGCGAUCAGAUACCGCCCUAGUUCUAACCAUAAACGAUGCCAACCGGCGAUCCGUCGUCGUUAAUUGAAUGACUCGACGGGCAGCCUCCGGGAAACCAGAGUGUUUGGGUUCCGGGGGAAGUAUGGUUGCAAAGCUGAAACUUAAAGGAAUUGACGGAAGGGCACCACCAGGAGUGGAGCCUGCGGCUUAAUUUGACCCAACACGGGAAAUCUCACCAGGCCCGGACACCGGAAGGAUUGACAGAUUGAGAGCUCUUUCUUGAUUCGGUGGGUGGUGGUGCAUGGCCGUUCUUAGUUGGUGGAGCGAUUUGUCUGGUUAAUUCCGAUAACGAACGAGACUCUGGCCUACUAACUAGAAGGUCUAUCCUUUAUGGGUAGGCCUCUGCUUCUUAGAGGGACGGGCGGCGUUUAGCCGCACGAGAAUGAGCAAUAACAGGUCUGUGAUGCCCUUAGAUGUUCUGGGCUGCACGCGCGCUACACUGAAGGAAUCAGCAUGUUCUCCCCUCCCUGAAAAGGGCGGGUAACCCGUUGAAACUCCUUCGUGAUGGGGAUUGGAGAUUGUAAUUAUUCUCCAUGAACGAGGAAUUCCCAGUAGGCGCGAGUCAUCAGCUUGCGUCGAUUACGUCCCUGCCCUUUGUACACACCGCCCGUCGCUACUACCGAUCGAGUGAUUUAGUGAGGACUUCGGACUGGUCUUCAAGUUGGCUUCGGUCGGCUCGAAGUUCCGGAAAGAUGCCCAAACUUGAUCACUUAGAGGAAGUAAAAGUCGUAACAAGGUUUCCGUAGGUGAACCUGCGGAAG
rnacentral:rRNA from 1 species